UAUAGACAACACUAUAGAAGUUGGACAAAGAAGUUUGAAGCUAAUUUAUUCAGCUCGUGAUGGAAAGCUUUCACACUAUGCUAACAACAGAAAUUUGAUUACAGCAUCUGCAGAACAGUCAUACAGUUAUUACAGUGGAAACGAUGGAACUGAUAAAGAUCCACAGAUUGAUGUAGGCAUUGGAUCUUCAUCAUUUGCAAAAUCACAGGGCCUGGAAUGACUCAUUGAUAGUGG